CUAGAAUCAGAAUGCAAUGUACAACAGCAGAACAAGAUUCUUAAUUCUGUAUUUUACAAUCUGCUGGUGAAUAAUGUCAAAAAGCUAAAAUGGCAGCAGUUACUGACUGUGAAUUUUAAAUUGAUAAUUAAACCAAGGAAAGGCUGCUAUACAAAAAUAGGAGAUGUAAAAGGUUAAUGAAGCUGUAAUAAAGAUGGAGAGUUGGCUGUGCAUCUUAGAGUGACUUGGAAAAAGAAAAGGAGGUUGAUGAAAACUGUUCAGACUGAACUUUAAUAUUAAGCAACAUGUUCUACCACUGAGCCAAAAACAUAGCCCAAGCAAGGAUAUUUUUAUGGGUGCUGUAGGUGGGGGAACUCAAGCUGCUAUGAAUUCCAACAUCCUUUUUGAAUCACUCAGAUCAGUAAAGGACCACAUGCACAUUUACUGGACGAUGAUGAACGCCUUCUAUGUCAACAAAUGCUCUUACCAGUAUCACAGGUUAUUUGCAGAAAGGCCAAGAGGAGUCCAAAUGAAGCCACAACCAUUCCUGUUUUUUUUCAUUGUGACAUGCUUGAUGGAAGGAUAUGUCAUUUACAACUAGGACAUCUUCUCAGCAAGAUUGUUUCCAGAUAAUGCCUCUGAGAUCUCUGUACCUUGCCUGCAUCUCUGCCUUUAUGUUACAGCCUUUCCAUGGAUAUUUAUAGAAAAUUGAACAAAGAAAUAAAGCUAAACAAAUUACACAAACAUGGAUGGUAUGAAGCAAUUCUUGAAGGUUUUUUUGUGUGUAGUUUUCACAGUGCCAAUAUUAGCCGAGAGUAUCAUUUAAAAUAAAACUCUUAUUUAAAACGCCAAAUUCAAAUGCUUUUAUAGAACACAGAACAGAAUUAAGUAAGUCACUUUAAAACUUCUAACGGGAGAUAGAUUUAAUGCUACAUGCAUGUUU